UUUUAAGGAAAAAUGUAACUGCCCUUGGUUAAGAAGGUGAGAUUCUCAGGGACUUCUUAGUGACUAUGCUCCUGUAGGAGAUGAGCCCCCACCCCAGUGCAGAGCCAGUGCAGAGCUGCUGCAGCCCUUGCUUCCCAGCAUAGCGGGGCCAUCGCAUGAAUAUGGCAACAUUCUACACAGCCCUUUGCCUGCGUUUUGGAUGGGUCAAGGAACAGCUCUGUGACCCACUUCUUACUGGACAGCCAAAUACAUCCUACUGCACCAGAAAGAAGAGCUUCCCUGCAGGAGAUAGAAGCUAUGAAUGUCCUGAGGUGUCCUUCUGGGAUAUCUGAACUUGAGCCCUUUGCUUUUCCUGCUCACCUGAAGAAAGAGCCUCAAAUCCAAGGGCAGGCAGAAAUGACCCUGUUAAAGAUAAAGGGUGCAAGGCCCCACGCUUCUCCCUGCUUGGAUGGGGCGGAAAUGCAGUGGGAAGCAAACAGUACAAAGAAGUCCCACACCCUCAGAGUUGUCAGAGAGGAGCCAGGCUCCCUGGUGGCUUCCAGAGAGAUCUCCUGCCCCUACCAAGUUGAAGUGUAGCCAUUUAGCCCAAUAAACCCCAACAAAAGUUUGGGUCCUUGCUGAGUCAGUUCUGUAGCUGGUGAUGUGUGUAUUUUUAUACAUGUUUUUUCUUUUGGUGCAAACAUGGGUGGCAAUCUGAUUAGCUUAUGAUUCAUGAUUUGGCUAAUGUCCCUACUUCCCCCAGUCCCCACCUGUUCAAAUAACUACUACUGUAAUGUAGGCUGUUAACUUGAAAUAACUUUUCCAACCCCUUUGGUAAAUGAGCUCUGGAAACUCUUUAAGUUUUGUCCAGAGGCAGAAGUUGUAAUUUAAUGAAAAUGCUUUUCAAACCAAGUCAAUGUGAUGCAAAA